AACGAACGCUGGCGGCAUGCCUAACACAUGCAAGUCGAACGAGACCUUCGGGUCUAGUGGCGUACGGGUGCGUAACGCGUGGGAACCUUCCCUUAGGUUCGGAAUAACUCCCCGACAGGGGUGCUAAUACCGGAUAAUGUCUUCGGCCCAAAGAUUUAUCGCCUUUGGAUGGGCCCGCGUUGGAUUAGCUAGUUGGUAGGGUAAAAGCCUACCAAGGCGACGAUCCAUAGCUGGUCUGAGAGGAUGAUCAGCCACACUGGGACUAAGACACGGCCCAGACUCCUACGGGAGGCAGCAGUGGGGGAUAGUGGAAAAUGGGCGAAAGCCUGAUCCAGCAAGGCCGCGUGAGUGAUGAAGGCCUUAGGGUUGUAAAGCUCUUUUACCCGGGAUGAUAAUGACAGUACCGGGAGAAUAAGCUCCGGCUAACUCCGUG
rnacentral:rRNA from 1 species